GCCUGUUUAACUCAGUGGUAGAGUGCCCGUCUCAUACGCGGAGUGUCACUAGUUCGAAUCUAGUAGCAGGCA
rnacentral:tRNA from 1 species